UACGGAGGGUGCAAGCGUUAUCCGGAUUUACUGGGUUUAAAGGGUGCGUAGGUGGGUCUGUAAGUCAGUGGUGAAAUCUCCGAGCUUAACUCGGAAACUGCCAUUGAUACUAUAGGUCUUGAAUAUCCUGGAGGUGAGCGGAAUAUGUCAUGUAGCGGUGAAAUGCUUAGAUAUGACAUAGAACACCAAUUGCGAAGGCAGCUCACUACGGGAUUAUUGACACUGAGGCACGAAAGCGUGGGGAUCAAACAGG
rnacentral:rRNA from 1 species